ensembl:lncRNA FOXP1-DT FOXP1 divergent transcript
AACACAAAUUACCUGCUCUCCCAGUGAUCAGUCACGUGCAAAAAGCUUUGUCCAAUUCUUUGAAAAGGUGAGAUUUUUUUUUUUCUUUUUGCGGUUUUUGAAGUUUGGUUGAAUUUAGAAAUUCGAAGGAAUAAACUAAGAGCCUGAAUUAAAUGUUUUGAAAUAUACAUACAUAAAACAAAAGACACUAGUAUUUCUUUCACUUUUAUCAAUACGCAUAGAGAAGGAAGCAGAGUAUGUGUUUCCAAAACGUGACUUGGAAAGCUGUAAGACCUCUAUGUCUUGUUGUUGUUGUUGUUGUUGUUGUUAACAGAAGUAAAUUUUUUCAGACCCACCACCACAGAAGUGGCCAGACUCCCAAACCAGCAUUUCCAGCUACUGGCUGGCUGGUGUACACCAGGCCAAUUCUUUAUGAGAAUAUAUUAAAAGUCACCCCUGUGGAUUCCUACAAAGUACUUCCCCUUGCGGGGAGGGGAGAGGCUUACUGUCCCUUUGGUCUUGAGACCAGCACAGUUGUAGAUAAUAUCCUGAAAAGGUUAUUAUUAAAUUCUUUCGCGUAAUGCCCCUUUACAAAUAUUGUUAAACAUUAAUUUACAGAAGAACUUAAAUCUUAAUUUCAAGGGUGGCAUAAGACUAUCGCUUUGAAAUUGUAUCUUUCGCAAGUUAAAAAAAAAAAAUAACAAAGCCAUUCGCUGAUGCUACAGAAUAAAAGAAAGGGAGGCUGCUAAGGUAAUUUCAGCCUGGUAGAAUUCACAUUGCAUGCAUGCUGCAUAAAGUUCCAUGCUAUCCAGAUAAGACUAUUCACUGAAUCUUUUAGACUAGAAUCUAGACCAAUAAAAUGCAUUUUAGUUUGUAUGGAAUGUCCUAGCUUCCUAGAGGCUAGGGUUCGACGUCUUGUUUGUCAAGACAUAAAGGGAUUAAUGACAUACCCACUGUGUGCUAGACCACAGAGUGGGCACAGAGGGAUGAAAAAAUAAAAAUUCCUGCCCUUGAGGAGCUCACAGUCUAAGCUGUCAAUAAUAACAUCUAACAUUUAUUAAAUACUAUGAUCUAGGCACUGAACUAAAAGCUUUAUGUCAACUCAGUUAAUACUGCCAACAACUCUUUGACAUCACUGGAAAUUCCAUAUGCUGAAUUCACACGGAAUUAAGUGGAAAUCUACAAAGUAGCCAGUCUACUGGUUCUGUAGUGGUCAACCUAUUAAAAAUGGUUUUUAAUUUCUAAAGUACUUUAUGCCAAAUAUAACAUGUUUAUGGUAUAUGCCUGACUGUAGAAUUAUAACUCAGGGGAAUAACGACUUAUUUAAAUGUAACAGAUCUAUUCAUAGUCUGUAAAGAACAAUUCAUCCUCUGAUCUUGUUUUUCAGAUUAAGCAGUGUGUUUAUUAAAAAUUAUUAUCAUCGCAAUACUAAAAAGAUCUUUAGAUUGCUGCUAAUCUGAUUCUGCAUUUUAACUGCCUUAAAUUCUACAUUCACUUGCAAGUGGGGGCCACAGUCAGGUUGGCAACAAGUUUUGCAGACAAAAGGAAAUCCUGGUUGUAAAUCCCAUGAUAUAUUGUACUCAAUUUUGUAUGAUACUGUCUAAUGUGCUGUGCUGCCUUAUUAAAGAACUCGAUGUCCAUUUGGUUUACAUUAGAGGGAAACUUAACUGCAGCUUAACAUAUUGUUCAUUUUCAACACUGUCACGUUACAUUCGUGGGGGGCAGAUUUUAAUUUCUUUAUCAGUAAUCAACUGGAAGUUUCUUUUUGUUAAAUUAAAGCAAGAAAGGUUUUAAAAUAAAGGGCAUGGGGGUAGGACGCCACCUUUUGGUGAUAAAACAAAUAGAAAUCCCUUCUGAAAACAGAUGUUCCUGACAUAAUUUUAUUUUUAAUUACACCAAGGCAAAGGUGCUUGUCCCCAUUUCGUUAUAUUUUAAGUAACAGGAGAAAAAAAAAACCAAUGUAAAUGCAAAAUUAGCAAAUUAUAGUUAACUGCAGCCAAAAUUUUCCCAAACGUAUCAGAAUAUGUUAGUCCCCUGUCACAUUACUGUUGAUUGUAUACACCAAACAUGAGCUUCAUUCACCAAAUACCAUGUCACUAAAUAUAUGUACAUUUGGGGAACAGAAACUGGAGUGGACAUUUACCACCUGACGACGUACCUGAAUGCUCUUGUAAGUUUUGAGUUGAACAAAAACUAAAACCACUUAAUUUAGUGUUUCUUUAACCACAGUUACUGGUGUCCUGAUUUUUGCCAUAUCUAUAUGACAUAACAGUUCCCGAAUAAUUAAUAUACCAUACUCAUUGGAGGCCACUUAUUAUGGUAAUUGUAGCAAACAUUUUCAUUUAAAUCAACCUUCUUUUAAUUUUUUUCUAUUACUGCCUUAAAUGGGAAAUCAGUAUCACCCACCAUAAAUUAAAAACAAGCACAGUAAAAACAAAGUCACUGAUUUCUCUUUGAGGGUCAAAACAAAAAUUAAAAAUGAUUUUUG